GGAAGUAAAAGUCGUAACAAGGUUUCCGUAGGUGAACCUGCGGAAGGAUCAUUCACAAUUAAUACGAUCACCAUGUGAACCCGCCAACAGUCUAGCUGUUGGCCAUUUCACACACUAGUCUGUUCAGGUGUGUGGCUACUUCGGUAGUUUCAGACAACUUGUGGUGGUUUAAAUGUCGAGAUAUUCCUAAGCUCUAUACACUAUUAGCGGUGGAUGUCUUGGCUCCCACAACGAUGAAGGCCGCAGCAAAAUGCGAAACGCAUUGUGAUUUGCGGAAUUCUGUGAAUCAAUAGGUCGCUGAACGCAAACGGCACUACUCUCUGAGUAGUAGUAGGUCUGUUUCAGUCUCAAUUGCAAUCUCACCAAACAAUUUGUAUUAAGGUACAAGUUGCUAUUGGUGAGGUAAUGUGCUGCUCGAUACGUCUGGCAGUCGCAGUGUUCUAUAACUGUUCCUAAGUUAACAUAUUGGUUUCAACUAUGUUGCUAUGGGACUAUAACGUUAUAGCGUACUAAACUACAUGAGCUGAAAUCAGACCAGGCUACCCGCUGGACUUAAGCAUAUUAGUCAGCGGAGGAAAGGGCGAUCC
rnacentral:rRNA from 1 species